rnacentral:rRNA from 1 species
GACGAACGCUGGCGGCGUGCUUAACACAUGCAAGUCGAACGGAAAGGCCCUGCUUUUGUGGGGUGCUCGAGUGGCGAACGGGUGAGUAACACGUGAGUAACCUGCCCUUGACUUUGGGAUAACUUCAGGAAACUGGGGCUAAUACCGGAUAGGAGCUCCUGCUGCAUGGUGGGGGUUGGAAAGUUUCGGCGGUUGGGGAUGGACUCGCGGCUUAUCAGCUUGUUGGUGGGGUAGUGGCUUACCAAGGCUUUGACGGGUAGCCGGCCUGAGAGGGUGACCGGCCACAUUGGGACUGAGGUACGGCCCAGACUCCUACGGGAGGCAGCAGUGGGGAAUAUUGCACAAUGGGCGGAAGCCUGAUGCAGCCACGCCGCGUGCGGGAUGACGGCCUUCGGGUUGUAAACCGCUUUCGCCUGUGACGAAGCGUGAGUGACGGUAAUGGGUAAAGAAGCACCGGCUAACUACGUG